GCCGUCUUAGCUCAGUGGUAGAGCGCGUGGCUUUUACCCACGAGGCCGUGGGUUCGAUCCCCACAGACGGCG
rnacentral:tRNA from 2 species